UUCCCCUCGUGUAUCAGUAACAAAAUAAAUUUUGUAUACCAAAGAACUUUUUUAUCCACUGUGGUGUUCUAAUUUGUUCAUAGUAUAUUCAUUCUCUCGUCUCGUUAAAAUCACACCGAGUUCCCUACUGGCGCCCACCCCACUACUUCAGUUAGAAAAAAUGUUUUACUACUUAAUUCUCUCCUCUCGCGGAUGUCCUUAAUGAAAUUAUCACAAUAGCUCUACAUAUACUUACUACUAUCCUCGAUAAUUAUUCUAACGUAAUAAUUUGUCUUUUGUGCGACAUUACGAUUGCGGGUACCGCCCAUACAUCUCAU